rfam:Trypanosoma congolense IL3000, WGS project CAEQ01000000 data, contig: 2091
GCUAAGGUUGGAUUGUUCCCCACUGACAGGGAACGUGAGCUGGGUUUAGACCGUCGUGAGACAGGUUGGUUUUACCCUACUUGGCUGGAGAUUGCGA